UAAUUCCUUUUCUAGAAAACAAAAAUAUUUCUGUUACUAACAAAUACAUUUUAGGCUAAAUUAUAGAAAAUUCCUCUCUAAUAAUUCGUUUUUUCACGUUUCCUUUCUGAUAUUUAAAAAGCUACAGUUUGCCCUCUUGUAAAAUAAAAAAUAUGUACUUCACCCCCUACCGUUAGGGUUCUGUUAUAAAAUAUUUUUUUAUGCCAAAAAUAUCCCUCUAUCCCCCUAUUGCUUUGCCUCCCUCCUGCUCGCCCCCUA
rnacentral:lncRNA from 1 species